GAGAGGGUUACAAUGCCAGCAGACAAAGGCUGUAAUAGCGACCGCACCGCGGGAGCGAACUGUCUGACACACACAAGGUCAAAGUGACCAUGAAAACUUGGAGCUUUUGAAUCACUUCAGGACUUCGAGGCAGCCACGACAGCAUAACCACAGGCAUCCAGGGAAAAGGACAUCGAGCACUACUGAGGAAGUGUCAAGAGUGAUGUGACAAGUGUGAUCAAAGCAAGGAGGAGUGACUGCCUUCAAUGGGAAAAUCCUGCUUCCUGAAAGUCCCUCUUCAGUUAGAUACUUACCAAGCAGACCCUACCUCGGAGUUUCCUUUUCCAUCUUGCCAAGCCAACUCUCCUAUCCAGCAUCUUUUUGUUUUGUUUU